UUUGCAUUUUGUCAUAUUUGAUGAAAGGUGUCUCUGUGUAUUCCUGGCUAUCCUGGAACUUGCUCUGUAGACUGGGCUGGCCUCAAACUCAAAGAACAGUCUG
rnacentral:miRNA from 1 species